CCCUUAGAUGUUCGGGGCCGCACGCGCGCUACACUGAAGGAAUCAGCACGUCUUUCUCCUUGUCCGAAAGGACUGGGUAACCCGCUGAACCUCCUUCGUGCUAGGGAUUGGGGCUUGUAAUUCUUCCCCAUGAACGAGGAAUUCCCAGUAAGCGCGAGUCAUAAGCUCGCGUUGAUUACGUCCCUGCCCUUUGUACACACCGCCCGUCGCUACUACCGAUUGGAUGGUUUAGUGAGAUCCUCGGAUUGGUCCCGGCGCGGCCUCUGGUCGUGCCGGAGUGCCGAAAAGAAUGUCCAACUUGAUCAUCUAGAGGAAGUAAAAGUCGUAACA
rnacentral:rRNA from 1 species